CACGUAGGGCGCAAGCGUUGUCCGGAAUUAUUGGGCGUAAAGAGCUCGUAGGUGGUCUGUUGCGUCCGCUGUGAAAACUCGGGGCUUAACCCCGAGCCUGCAGUGGAUACGGGCAGACUAGAGGUAGGUAGGGGAGAAUGGAAUUCCUGGUGUAGCGGUGAAAUGCGCAGAUAUCAGGAGGAACACCAAUAGCGAAGGCAGCUCGCUGGGACGUUACUGACACUGAGAUGCGAAAGCGUGGGGAGCAAACAGG
rnacentral:rRNA from 1 species